UAUACAGUUAAGAAAUGCAGUUGAUUUGCCCUAUCCAACCCUGUCUUUCUCACACUGCAUUUAUUUUCUCUGUCCAGCAGAGAGCACCAGCAUACCAAUGAAUAGUCACUCCCAUUGCUUCUCUGCAGAGGCCACUCAAGGUUGGCCUGACCUCGUCUCAGCCUACUUUUUGAGAACUGUUCUUUCCACUGGCAGAUGAUCCAACAGCCUGUGUCAGAGUCGUUCUUUGGACAUCCCGCUGUCGUCCAGAAAUGACAGACUUAUCACAACUCCCGCCCCCUCCUCAAUUCCUCUCCCUCCCUGUCUGUCUCUUGUGAAUGGAGAGUCUGUGACUGAGAUUGCAAAGGGACUCCGUGCCCUACACAGAGAUGUUACAAAACACUGCCAUACUUGGUAUUCAUAGAGCUGCCCUACUUUCAUCAGUACCUAUAUGUGCAAGUACACACACCUAUAUUGAAUGGAUUUAUCCACAAAUUGUUUGUUCAUAAACUGGUUAGUUCACAUAUCGUAUGAAGGUUUGCUAACAGAACUGAUCUGAGACUGUGGAAAUGAAUAUAUCCAUCUAUUAGCCUGCACUGUGCUGUGGUUACAUUAGCCACUGCUACUGCUGAUUAUGGGACAUUACAAAGUGAGUAUGGGAAGUUGACAACUUUCUCCACAUAUUUGUUAUUGCUCAAUAAAUGAAAAGUGGCAUUUCUGUCUCCCCACUGUGUCUCUAAGGUAGGCUGUACAGUAGCUCAAACAAUUAACUGGGUGACAGGUUUUGAACAAAGCUAGAACCCAAAGCCUUUCCCAUUUCUCUUUUUCUCUGUGUAAAUAAGGCACAUUGCAAAUGAAUACAAACAGACAUCAGAUCCUACUAUAACACAUGAUAGAGAAAGAGAAAAUGAACUAUUAUACCACAAACUUCAACAAACAGGGCCUAAGAUAUUAUGUGUGUUUGUACAGGUGCUGUCUAAAUUUAUUUUUAUUGAAAACCACAGUAUUUCAAAGGGAACAUGUGUAAAUACAGCCCAAAAGAGUUCAAAUGACUAAAACCAUCAGAUACUAAAAUAAACACUUAUCAGACAUGACAAUGUACAGUAGUGGCCUUUUCAAGCAAGCAGAGUAGAGUUCUGUCCCUCUUUUGAAGGUAAUAGAUAACCUUUUGCUGUUGGCCACAAAAAAUCUUAACUGCGUAUUUCAGGCCUGGAAAAUACAGAAGACAACGUAAUGUGACAAGACAAAAAUUGAAAUGGCAACCCAAAAAAAGCACCAGAAUUUCACCUUUUACGGGAAAACUUGUACUUUAAUUUUACCUCAGGACCCUCCUUUUCUGGGGGUGGACAUGCUGAGUUAUCCACUAUACCCAAAACGAAUAAAAAAAAAAAACCUGUCAGCCUAUACUGUAUGUUUUCCCUAUGCCUCAUUUCCCCUCAGACCAGAAAGACAGGAAUGGCAUCAUUCUCAUAAUCACUGUGUUUGGUCAUGCUUUCUUAAAGCAUUUCCACUAGGGGCAAAAAGUAACAUACUAAUGUGUAUAUGCUUCUCCCAGUGUUUUUGUCUUUCACUCUGAAAACCAGAUUUUAAGAGCUGCUUAAGCCUGUUAGUCCCAGCUGUGAUGUAAAGCAUGCGUCAUCACUGAAUUGAGUGUUAUGAGCAUGUGUUUGAUAUAAUUACUGAAACAUUGCAUCUGUGUGUUUGUGUGUG